GAAAAGGGUUUUGCCUGCUAAUGUUACAGGUAUCCGAUCCAUGCUAUAGAUUGCAUCAUUACAACUUACAAGACCCCCAGAUACACACUAGUAGUAUUCUUCCAACACACGCAAAUCCAAGUCCUUGGAUUGAAAUUUGGGUUAUCCCUGAUCAAAUUCCCUUAAUCGACAUUUUUUCCGCUGGGAAACUUUGCUUAUUCUUACUUAAUUCCUGGUAAGAAAACCUAUAUUCUUUUCACAUGCCUUUUCGUUUUCAAGGCCGUUGAUCUUGAUUUGUUGUGUUAUUUCAAUUUGGCGAGCCUAGAUCUGUAAGUAUCGUUGAUUGCCGGUGUUUCUGUUAUGUCGGAUUUGAUAGAAUUGAGGGCAUCUGUUAUUUAUCUUUGGUGACAUGAAAGAGGUGGGGAGAUCUGUCCAUUCGNNNN
rnacentral:lncRNA from 1 species